CGGACCGGGCGAGGAGUCAGACACAAGUAAACAUAGAAGCUGCCAACUAUCUAUUCCGAAGCUGUAGGGGGGGCUCCAUAGAGAAACCCGUAGGGGGGACUCUAUAGAGAAACCUGUAGGGGGGGCUCUAUAGAGAAACCUGUGAACAAAAAGCAAGAAAACAGCGAAGAAAUGGCCCAAACUGCAUAGUGCCCUUUUUUGAUGCAACCUUU